CCGCCGGGGCGGACCCCACGCGUCCCCCUGGACCCCUCGCGCUGCCCGGGGCCCCCAACGCACGGCCGACCCCAACUGAACGCCUUCAGCAGCAACUCGCGGCUCAGACGAGGAAACUCCGGCCCCCCCGAGGGCGGCCCAGCAGUCAGGCCUGCUUCCUCUGCAAAUGUCACAGACCAACCAGAGAUCUUGUUUUUUUUGUUUUUGUUUUUUUAAGGGUUUAUUGGCAGGAGGGGGGGAAUUUCACAGCCCAGAAGGAAGAACUACGGGAACCAGGGGUGAGGACUGCAACACUGGCUGUUGACCGACAUCCAAAAUCUGUCACCGCAACUGAACAGCGUGACCUUGGACAAGUCAUUGAAAUUUCACGUGGCCGUUCCCUCACCUGUCACGGGGGCAUACUCCUACUCCUACUUCCCUUGGCGGGGUAGUAGUUGAGGAUGAAGCGAGAUGACUGUAACUUGCCUGCCACAGGGUCUGCGCACGGAAUUUUCUUUAGUCACCUACGUGGACAUGAUUUAUGGCUGCCCCAGAGGAAAAAUGAAAAAAAGUCAGCCAAGGGGCAGGGAUAUAUAAUCUCCAACUACAGUGUAACAGCAAUGAAAUCUUCAAAAACACAUUCUUUUGUUCUCAAAGUCCAAAAUUUUCACUUCUGAACAAAGAGUGUAUUGGGAAUGACUCCAAGAGCUGAGGCUGGGAGAUGGGAUGGCAAAGGAAACACCAUCCCGAUGGAGCUUCAGGUUGCAUUACCUGAAUCCUUCUGGAUCACCACUUAUAAUGAAAGCAUGCAUCACCCCAUGUCUGUUUCACUAUCAAUAAGGGAUAAGCUUUCAUUGCUUUUCUAUUCAGUCCAAUGGUAUAAGACAUGCUGGGUAAAGACAUUCUCCUUGAAGAUUCAAAGAAAGGGCAGAUGGAUGGCACUGUCUGAAUCUCCUUCUGUGGCCAGCCGAGGAGAGAGAUGGAGAGGCACCCGAGCCAGGGGGAAUCCCAAAGAGAACAAUUUCCAUCAUGGGCCCAGGGUUCUCCAGCACAGGCCCAGACACAGCACUUAACACCAAGGCACCUGUCAACUGGGGAGGGGAGAGGUGGUCGGUGCCUAAAUGAGUUUCUCUUUCCCCUGAAGAGUCACAUUCUGAGUGUGCUCUGCAAAGACAGCGCAAAGGUUAAUCAUCCAAGGUAUUUCAGAGUCAGUACAGACCAAACCCUUUUUCUGAAAGUUGGUUUUGCUAUUAGGGAGAGAUCUAGUCUCCCAAGACCACAGAAAUCCCUAGGGGUUCCUGCACUCACAAGGUGGAGAGGGGGAAAAAUGAAGAAACAUGGCAAAGCCUCAGCAGUAAAUCUUUUCAAACAGCCCCUUUGAGGGAGACUUGCCAUUCACCCGGAUUUUUAGGUGGGCUAAGUGCAGUCUUCACCAAACUUUGCUAGCGAUGUGCUUGUCCAGGGGACCAGCUGGGAACUAGCGGAGGACCCAGAGGAUGUAACAGAGCGAGGUCGUAAGAAUCCUGAUGCACAGAGCAAGGCAGAGAUUUGAUAAGAGUUCAGUCUUCUACCAAUGUCGGAACUCACAGCAUGUUUUUUUCCGAGAAGCGCUGAGUGUUUUCCAGAUGACACAUUCAUCUUCCCAGAGCCCGGGGAAUGGAAAGCCGGAGGCCGCAGGGGCAGGGGUGUGGGGCUGAGGAGGCAGACCUCUCAGGGUGUGCUCACCCCGCCCCCCACCCCAGAGAGCCGAUGGGUGGUGCGGGUACCAGGACAGCCCUAUCCUCAUGCCUCCUCCUUCCGCUCCGUUGCUGCCCUUGCUGCCAACCCUCCUGCCGGGGUCACUACAAACCGUGACCCUCACCUUUCUCUCUUUACAGCAGCCUGACUUUGCUGAUAAGCAAUAAGCCAAAAUAAGAGACUUCAAAGAGUGGAUAAGGGGGGAAAGGGGCCACGGGAAGAUCUGCCAAAAGAAAAAAAGCAAUGAGCUCACGGAGCAUGAGUCUUGCCUUCUGUCCCUGGCCCCGGGGCUCCCCUGCCCGAAAACGGGGCGGUGUGUCUGUUCCAGAUCAACGGGCCUGGCUCCCUUCUCAGCCUCCGUAUGGGAAGACAAUGGAGAUAUCUAGUGGUGAGCUCAGGGUGCUGGCCUGAGCAAACUGAACAGUGCCCACCCCUGCGCCUUAGGACAGCGCCUGGCUCAGGGCGCACCCCGGAGUGUCUGCUAUGGGGUCGUACUUGCAUCGCAUUCUCCGGCUUGGAAAGUGUUUGCUGACUUUCUCCCCUUCACUCCCCAUAACUACCACACAGUAGGGGCCAGUAGGGGCCCUGACACUGUAGUGAAACAUGAGACAAAGAGCAAGAGGAGGGACGUGCACCUACAUCUUCCCAUUCUGUUACUCUCAUUAAUCUCCAGAAAAGAGAGGGUCUGACCUGGUGAAAAGAGCAUGGGGUGCAGGUGGGAAGAACAGGUUCUGAUGCCCAGGAUGGCCAGAAAGGAACCUGGAGAUCUAGCGGAGAGAUGGCACGGGAGUUCCUUUUAUAUGCCAACUCCGAUUUUCAGCAGUGGCCUUACGACAAGAGCCAGGAGGACCCUGGGGCUGCUCAGUGGGGCAGUGUGCUGUGAUAGAUUAGCCAUGUCAGCCCCAGACAUGGUAAGAGCUGAUGGGACCAGGAUGUCACUAUGUCACCACGAUGUCAUCCAUUGGCUGUAUUUUCUUUUUCCAGUGUUCCUAUUUCUUUUGUAGCCAAUUAAAUAAAUUUCAUCAGAAAAUUAAUCUAUUCUACGUUAUACAGCUGGAUUGUAGCUGUGCCGAGAUUUGAAUCCAGGCCUCUGAACUACAAGUCCAGUACCGUCUUCACUAUGUCAUGCUGUCCAGGUCCUAAUACCAGUUAUGUUCCCAUAAAUGUGGAUGCAUGGGUUCUCCCCUGCCUCUGUUUCUUCACUUGCAGAUUAGAGGAGAUCAUCCCUGUUUUCUCCAUCUCACAGAAUUACUGGCAAUCAAACAAAAGGCCAGAAUCCCAGCACUCUGAGCUCCCAGGCCCGUGUUCUUGCUGCUGCACCCUGUUGCUAUCAAUAGACAUGAAAACACUGAAAGGCAGAAGCGGCCCUAAAAAUGCAGAGUAGUAGUAUGGGAAGCGAGGAGUCUGAAGCCCUAGGUUCUGCUUCAGUUGCAUCUGCUCCACACCUGGUGGCUUUCUCUCCACAGCCCCACAUGCAGAAGCUCAGGAAGGAGGAGAACGGAAGAGAACCAAGGCUAACAAUGGAGGCAGCACCCCCGCCCCCUGACGACUCCCCAGGGGCAGCUGCUUCUGGGGAUGUCCAGAAGCUGCAUCCUCUCAUAUCCCUCUCAGCCCUCUGUCCUGCCCUCCAGAUUGGCUGUCCCAGACCUAGUCACCACACUGAGCGGUGUUCCUGGAACCCGGGACGCUGCAGUUCAAAAGAGGAUGAUGACAGUAGGGCCUGGGGAUAGUGGGGCUGGAGGUCCUGGGUCUCCACUUGCGGGCUCCCCUUUGUCUCCUUCUUCUGCUCCCUCCUCAUCAAAGUCUCCAUCUAAGGAGUAAGUAAGCUUCCACUGCUCUCAAUCCUGUCUUUCCCUCCUCCUGACACCCUAAUUGGUCCAACCACGUUGCCCAUCUUCUGUGGUUCUCUUCAGGCUCAACAACAUGUCAACUUCAAGGAAAGGCAACCACCUCCCCUUCCCCACAUGCAUAUUCCAGUAGUGGUUUUUGGUGUUGCGCAUAAAAAUAGUCCCUGCACCCGCCUCAUCUCUCCUCAUAGGAUGGGAGUUGCUGGAGAGUGGAGGUCACGAUUCGGCCUAGAGUUGUCUGAAAAAAAGGGAGAUCACCCAUCUUAACUAGCCUCAGACUCAUAGGAUUGUAGGGCUGAAAGGAACUAGGAUGUUCAUCUUGUCUAGUCAACCACAUAAGUCCUAAAAGUAUCCUUGAACACAGAGACCUGCCUAGCUCCCACGCAGCCCAUUUUGGGGUUCCAAGAAGCUCCCACCCAUCAUGUUUAUGUUUCGAUUGUCUCCACUAGCUAGAACGUAAACUCCACAAGGAUGAGGAAUUUUGUCUAUUUUAUUCAUUACUGCAUCUCCAAUGCCUAGAAUAGUGCUUGGCAUGUGGCAAGUACUUAAUAAAUACUUGUUGAAUUAAUUAAUAAUUGGUUUUGUUUCUAGCCUUUGGGGUCUUUCAAAAGAGCUUAAACAUUUUUGCCUGCUAUAUGAUGGUGUCUCAAAUAAUUCAAGACACCUGCCAUGUCUUCUCCCUCCCUAAGCUCUUACAGUCCCUUGAACGUUACCUGAAGAAUAUCCUGAUCCUUUGCCACCUCGGGAUGUUCUCUGAAUGUGCUCCAGAAUCACAAAGCAAGGAGGACACCUGGAAUUUCCCCAGCUAGCCCAUGCUGUCAUUCUACAGGCUAUGAUCUGGUCUUUGGACACCAAAGCCCAGGCUGCCUCGCCACCUUGUAACCAAAAGCAGCUACGUUAGAGGGGCAUGAAGCACUCCCAAAGUGGAUGCCGUCUUCACGUGUGGGCCGUGCUCCCCUGACAUAGAGGGCCGGGCCAGUAAACAGAUGGAGAACUCCCAAAGGGCUCACCUGUGGUAGUCCCAACAGAACACAUAAGAUGCAUGGAGAUGGUCUCUGCCCUCAGAGUCUGCAGUGGGACAAAUGGAUAAGUCAACGUGCAAUUACAUCCUAGCGAGAUAAAUCGUCGAUGCCCUAUCAUGAACACACCAGAGGCUUGCUCUGUGCGCUUUACUCUGGUGACUGAGCAAGACAUUCCUCUCUCUGAACAUCCUUGGAGCCUUAAAUAACUGAAGGAAGACAGUGGAGUGUUUCUACCUGUACAUUUUUCACAUCAUUUUGAAACUCCCAAAGACAGAUUUUCUGAAAGCUGUUGUGACUGUUUACUCUGUGUUGGGAGCUGGGCCCAUAAUAGGUCUUCAACAACUGUUUGUUAGAUAAGUAGCUGCAGGAUCUUCACAAAAACUCUACAAGGUAAGCAUGUUUAGCCCCAUUUUACAGAAGAGGGAAGUGUGUUGCCACUUGGAGGUGAGGACAGGUACAUAUCUACAUAGGGCCUGGCAAAGGAUAACCACAGAUAGCUGGCAGCAACUGGAUGCACAGCCCAUGACAGCAUUGUCUUUUGCAAGCACUGACGGAUGCAAAGCUGGACAUGCCAAACAUGGUCUGCAAGUGUCCUGGACUCUGGAGGAGGGAGACUGCUCUGGGCUGGAUUGUGUGGAGACUGGGGGGAACAGGCAGGCUUCCAGUGCUGGGCUGGUCCUACCAAGCUGUGGUGCUCUCUGCAUCCCAGUUUCCUUGCUCUGGACACAGUUCUCCUCUGAUCAGACUGGUGGUGAGGGUCAGUGGCACUGUGGCAGCCAGUCCUGCUCUGACCCGAGGCAUGCUGGCAUGGAAGGGGACCAUGGCCUAGAGAUCUCUACAAAGGUAGCUCAGUAGGACACAUUGCACGAUGGAAAGUAAUUGUCGGGGAGGUGGUGUCAGACUAUGCUUAAAGGAGGUUCUAGUCUCCUGAACUCAGGUCUAUAGCAUUUUGGGGCUCUGCCCCCAGAAAUCCACUUCCAACCUGGGAUCUCCCAGAUGACUGAUUCCUUUGAGUCACCUCUACCAUCCAGCUCUGGGAAGAGUAUGUAACUGAAGCUAAGACACAGGGUGGCAAGAAGCCUUGAGCCCACGGAGAGGUACUUACUUGGUCCCUCUCUUCAAGAGGUCUGGAGUCCAGCUGGGACAAUGGGGAGGCCCUGUGUCAGGACUGACCAUCAAUCAAAGAAACUGGCUUUGUUUGUUAUUUAAGGAAUUAUCCUACUCUAGGUUUGUGUAUAAUCUUGUUUACUUCCUCAACCAAGACACAAGUGCCCCAAGGGUGGAGGUUUUGUCUUCUAAGUCUCUGACCCCAUGGUUCUAACUAAUAGAAGGCAUUCUAGGCCUGUUGUAGAGUGAUGGGUGGGCAACUGGCUGAAUCAAGUGGAUUAGUCUUAAAUCAGAGUCCCAUAGGCCUAGAAGGAUGGACCGGCUGAAGGGUUAACUGCAAAGAGAUGUGGUCCUGCCUGGAGCUGGGCCACAUGGCCAGUUCCAGGAUUCAAGUGUGAGUAGCACACAGCUUCUCAGGUCAAGGAGCUCAAUCCAGAAAGGGCUAUGGUUCAAUCAACAGUACAGGAGGCCACAGAGCCUGUAUGAAAGACACAGAAUGGUUAUGAAAAUGCAGACUCUGAAGCCAGAUCAGGAGUUCAAAUCCCAACUCUAAAGAGAUAUGUGAUCUUGAGCAAAUACUUCAAUUUCUCUCUGUCUCAAGUUCCUCAUCUAGAGGUGGCCAUAAUAAUAACAGCUCCCAGGAUCGUUGGAUCGAGAAUUACAUGAGUUGAGAUAUAUGAAAUAUCUGGAAACACAUGCGUGCUGGCUAUCAAUGUGUGGUAGAGGCUGGGGGCAGGGGGCGGGGAGGGA